AAAUGGACAAAAUAGCCCAAGACUCUAUAGAGUUAAUAAAGUAAUCUUCUUCUUCUUCUACUGAUUGACUGUGAGCUCUACAAUAAAUGUUUAGGAGAAAUCUAUAUGAACAUGGACAUGAGGAUCUAUCUGUGUUUAACUGUUCUGUAAUAAUUCACAAGCACAAUCAAACUUUUGAUUUUCAGUUCAAGAAACUCGACUGAUUGCCACCGAGAGCAAAACAAGUCACCUAGAAACGGAGAACACAGACCUGCAGACCAGACUGAGGAGCAGUGAGGAUGAACUUCUCAUCAGCAAGUUCAGGAUCAACCAACUGGAGAGAGAAUAUGCAGUUCAAGAAACCCGACUGACUGCCACCGAGAGCAAAACAAGUGACCUAGAAACAGAGAACGCAG